rnacentral:rRNA from 1 species
GGCUCAGAUUGAACGCUGGCGGCAUGCCUUACACAUGCAAGUCGAACGGCAGCGGACCUUCGGGUGCCGGCGAGUGGCGAACGGGUAGAGUAAUAUAUCGGAACGUACCUUUCAGUGGGGGAUAACGUAGCGAAAGUUACGCUAAUACCGCACUAUUCUGUGAGCAGGAAAGCAGGGGAUCGCAAGACCUUGCGCUGAUUGAGCGGCCGAUAUCAGAUUAGCUAGUUGGUGAGGUAAAGGCUCACCAAGGCGACGAUCUGUAGCGGGUCUGAGAGGAUGAUCCGCCACACUGGAACUGAGACACGGUCCAGACUCCUACGGGAGGCAGCAGUGGGGAAUUUUGGACAAUGGGCGCAAGCCUGAUCCAGCCAUGCCGCGUGAGUGAAGAAGGCCUUCGGGUUGUAAAGCUCUUUCGGCCGGGAAGAAAUCGCACGGGUUAAUACCCUGUGUGGAUGACGGUACCGGAAUAAGAAGCACCGGCUAACUACGUG